rnacentral:lncRNA from 1 species
AUGUUGUAUUCUAGGGAAUAUGAUAAUGUUUUUCUUGAUUUUGACUAUGAGGACGUAUCAUGGCUCUCGAGAUUAAUGGUUUUUUUUUUUUUUUUUGAUUAGUGGUUUGUUAGCAGUGCCUAAGAAAUGCUAGUUAUUAUGGUUGGAGUUCCUCUCUUCUGUUUGAUGUUUAUGAGAAUAUACCUAAUUACUUUUAGGGACACAUAGUGCUACCAUAUUACGCAACUUACACCACUAAGUAUGAUGUUAUGAUCCUUUGAAAUAUGUUUUCUAACAGUGCAAACGACAUUGGAUAACUUAUGAUUAU